rnacentral:snRNA from 1 species
GUGCUCUCUCAACAGCAUGUACACUAAAAUUGGAAUGUACCGAGAGGAUUAGCAUGGCCCCUGGGCAAAAAUGACAGUCUUGAACAGUCCAGGUUUAA